rnacentral:rRNA from 1 species
GAUGAACGCUGGCGGCGUGCCUAAUACAUGCAAGUCGAGCGAACAGACGAGGAGCUUGCUCCUUCGACGUUAGCGGCGGACGGGUGAGUAACACGUAGGUAACCUACCUAUAAGACUGGGAUAACUUCGGGAAACCGGAGCUAAUACCGGAUAAUAUUUCGAACCGCAUGGUUCGAUAGUGCAAGAUGGCUUUGCUAUCACUUAUAGCUGGACCUGCGCCGUAUUAGCUAGUUGGUAAGGUAACGGCUUACCAAGGCAACGAUACGUAGCCGACCUGAGAGGGUGAUCGGCCACACUGGAACUGAGACACGGUCCAGACUCCUACGGGAGGCAGCAGUAGGGAAUCUUCCGCAAUGGGCGAAAGCCUGACGGAGCAACGCCGCGUGAGUGAUGAAGGUCUUCGGAUCGUAAAACUCUGUUAUUAGGGAAGAACAAACGUGUAAGUAACUGUGCACGUCUUGACGGUACCUAAUCAGAAAGCCACGGCUAACUACGUG